UGCUAGAAGGUGAAAGGUUAUAUAUUUAGAUAUGCGCUAGCUACGUAAGUCUAAAAAAUAACGUUGAGCAUAAUGGAAAUUCCCAGAUACGCUCAUCAGCAUAGAACGGCUCUCGAGAAUCCUCUGUUUCUUAUAUAAUCUUUACGUGGACCAAUGCUUUUUGAGAUAAUAAAAUUAGACCAGGUAUAAAUACAGAUCUCUAGUGGCAAAAUAUCAUCGAAUGUCUAGCUGAAUUGAAAGAUACAUAUUUCAGCGAAACGUACUUUCGGUAUUUUAAGGUGUGUUGGAGUGUGAUCUUGGUCAAGAUUUUAAAAGAUGAGGAUGUUUGAAUAUAUAGUGGCUCUAGUGCUAUGUUCAUUGUUUAACAUUGCUUCUGCACAGUCUUUAACUGGCAGUCAACUUGGCGGUAUCCUUGGAGGAAUAAUUGUUGUAGUAAUUGUCAUAAUAGUGAUUGUUCUCGUGAUCAAGCGGGCAAGGUCAUCUGAGAGAAACUACGGAGGUGUGUCUAGAGCCAAGUUUGGGAUGAAAAGGAAUCAAAGCCAUUAGGUCUGGUUCAAAUCUACAUAGUUCACUGUGGGAAACAAUGAAUAAAUGUGUUUGUUUCGUCCAUGGGCGUAGCCAGGAUUUUUU